AUUACUUAGAAUUUUUUUGACUGUCGACUAAUAGUACAAUAACAUCGGGAUCGAAGUCGGGCUCGAUGAACAAUUAAUUUAAACAACACGCCGAAAUUCAAAAAUAUCGAAUGCCAUGUUGAUGUUGCACGGAAGGGAAGUUGGAAAGAGAGUGUCUAGAACAGGGGAAUCAUGAUUAGCAGUGGAUGGAAGAAGAAGAAGACAUUUUAAGACCCUCUGUUGCUGCAUUGUGCCUGAGAUGAUCCCCUCAGCGCUGGCGUUUGAUAACUUGGUGGAUGUAGAUGCUUAGCCAGUCAGUCACUAGGCUUGUGAAUAUGGAAUCCGGAUGCUCACAAGGACAAGAGGUGUAUGAAAAAAAAACGAAAAAACAAA